rnacentral:rRNA from 1 species
UACGAAGGGGGCUAGCGUUGCUCGGAAUCACUGGGCGUAAAGGGUGCGUAGGCGGGUCUUUAAGUCAGGGGUGAAAUCCUGGAGCUCAACUCCAGAACUGCCUUUGAUACUGAGGAUCUUGAGUUCGGGAGAGUGAGUGGAACUGCGAGUGUAGAGGUGAAAUUCGUAGAUAUUCGCAAGAACACCAGUGGCGAAGGCGGCUCACUGGCCCGAUACUGACGCUGAGGCACGAAAGCGUGGGGAGCAAACAGGG